rnacentral:rRNA from 1 species
UACGGAGGGGGCAAGCGUUAUUCGGAAUUAUUGGGCGUAAAGGGCGCGUAGGCGGCUAGAUGUGUCAAAGGUGAAAUCCCUCGGCUCAACUGAGGAACUGCCUUUGAAACUGUCUGGCUUGAGGCCGGGAGAGGGUAGCGGAAUUCCCAGUGUAGCGGUGAAAUGCGUAGAUAUUGGGAGGAACACCAGUGGCGAAGGCGGCUACCUGGACCGGUCCUGACGCUCAGGCGCGAAAGCGUGGGGAGCGAUCCGG